AACAACGAGGGUUACUGGUCAGCGAUCGCUGCACAGCCAGCAGAGGCGCCCGGCACCCGGGCCAAGGACACGGACAGUGCGCCAGCUCCGUGCCUUAUUCAGAUAUGCUGAGCAGGCCAUCUAUGCCUUCGUCCGUGGCACUGACAUGGAUUUUUUUUUUUUUUUUGGGGGGGGGGGGGACAAGCUUUCUGGUACUUUAUUUCCCUUUUUAAUUUGUUUGAAACUUAAAAACAAAAUAGGAAAGAAAAAUGCCAUGUAUACAGUAAAACACGAGAGGAUUCAAAAUAUAAAUUAAGUUUCCAUUUCAAGAAAGCCUAUACGUUAAAUACUACAUACUGUGUUCAGAGCUCUCUUCGCUUUAUUUGCUGUUCCUCCACACGGCGCUCCACAGCACAUCUCCAUGUCUGGAAUAUCUGGUGCCCUCAUCUCUGCCUCUCUUUUACCUUGGCUUCGGGACUCAGAUAAAACUUACGUGCAGGGCCCUUCCUCAUCUCCUUAGGCCCUCCUCCAAGAUUACCUCGCAUCUAACUGAAACCUUGUUUGUAUACAGGGGUUUGCCCGGAGGCGGUGGGGCCUGGGAGAGACGGAUUUGUGUCUUUUUUUGUAACCCUAUUACUCAGCACAGUACCUGGCACAUGAUUAAGAUAGUUAAUAAAUGUGUGUUGAUUUGUUCACUCAAA